GCCAAUUAUAACCACAGGGGCCAGCAUGGGGCCAGUUUUUCCUCCUACAAGGGCCAGUUAAAGCUGCUAAGAAAAUAAGCAUUACCUUAGACAGUGGAGUGGCCAACAGAUUAAGAAAAAGAUGUAAGGACAGCUCGCUUCAGUACAACGAAAAAGGGUGUUUUAAAAAAAAAAAGGCCAAAGAAAAUCCAGAAUAAAUGGGGACAAGGACUGUGGUUGAAAGAUAAGCAAACAAAAAGUGGGCUCCACGCGACCGUCUUCUUACUGCAAUACCGCCUUUGACCGUACAGACUGGCCCACCAGCCGUUACCACUCAGGGAGGCGCUGUUUCACUCGUUUGAGGAAACGGACUUAAAAUGGGGAGGAGUUGUCCAUCACCGUUGCAAUAUACAAGAAAAAUGACUUAAUGAUUUUAUUAAAUGCGCAAUGAUUGGUAUGUGGUAACAUUAAUCCUGGCCUGCCUCUGUUUCUGAAAAACAAACACCCCUGUGAGUCCAGGCUUCCUGACUUCUUGUCUCAGCUGGAUCAGAUCACAGGUGUAAUUAAUAAAAUUAAUAACACAGGCUUUAAUUUGGUUAGCUAAUGUGCAUGCUGGCUCACUCAUUACAAUGGAACAGAGACAGUAUUAUUAACAUUGUUAGCAGUAUAUAUUAGAAGUCUAGCGUUAAAUCAUGAAAAACACCUAUGCAUAUGUGGCCCAGUGAAGUUUGUUAGAUCUACAGCAAAAUAUUGUUUUGUAACAUUAAUAUCUAAAUAAAAGAUGUUUGUAUAUUUAUUUACGC